UAUGUGGGAGUUGCCACUCCAUAAUUUUUCGUAAAACCUCCUUGACUGAUACAAUCCUAAACAAUGCCACCGGUGUGUGUGCCGAUGAUAGGUGUUCUGCAACAUGCUGCCGUAGAUCGUCAGGGGACGCAACUCCUGUCAUUGGACGAACGCACGCCAACUCGGCCAAAUCUCAUUGACUUCCUGCUCUUUUUUUUUCUUCUUUGCCUGCCGCUCACUACUUAGAACACUCCUAAAGCGAAAUUUCGCAUAGCACAGUGCGGCAUACCUCUUUAACUUUAGCUCAUAUGCCAAUACGAUUAACUCAUAGUAACAGGGCAGCGAGAUGCGAGGCCAGACUGCAGAGGCAAUGCGCUGCCAAUUCGACCGCAGAAAAUUCAGCUAUAGUGCAGUCAUUCUAUUAUGGUAGUCACCAUGCACUAUUGCACUUUUGAAGACCGUUUUUAUCAUAGCACCUCCCACCAGGAGUCUUACCCAUGUUUGUAGGCAUGGCUGUUUCAGUGUCGCCUAGUGGCAGCAAAGCCAAAACCAAAGCUACAACAAGGAUAUUGCCCCAUUCACAUUUGCAACCAUUAACCAGUCAAAAACAAACAAGUCCAGUUGAUAUAAGCUGAGAAUGACCCAACACUCCUGUUCUCAAGUGAUCGCUUUGCCCAGCUUCAAUGAAGCACUGCUCACAUCAGCACCGUGGUCAAUGCAAGAGCUGACCAGCAGUGGUCUUCGCUUAGCUUUUAGUACAGCAUAUGCAGCUAACUGUACUUACACGAACGUGACUUGGUAAUUGCGUUUCCGCAGCAGCACUACAUGGCCUUCGUUCUCUGUAUGCAAAAGCAUGCAUCGGGAAGAAUUUUGUGCUCUGGACCCGCUCUUGGUAGUAGUCGAGGUUCCCAAUAUCCUGUACCACGCUUGGCAUUGCUAAGGUGUCAAGACCUUAUGUACAUGCGGAAGGUCGUCAGGAAGCCAAGUUUUACACCACUGUAAAGGAAGUAAGAUGGAGCAAAAGAGAAUCAAAGCGUGUACCAACUCUUACUGCAGACAAUGAGAAUAGGGCCAGGAUAAUGUAAAUAUUCUAUUCCAAUUCCUUUCAGACACUUUGUCAGCAAUCCAAGGGCCCUGCACUUACAUUAUCACCAGGCCAGUUGUGAGUGGUGGACGACAGAAAAGGAACAGAAUCUUCAGAAAGGUUUGCAGUCCAUUAACAGUUGCAUUAUUAUGACUUGCUGAUGACCGCCUACAGUGUGGCGCUGUCUCCACAGACAUUUGGCGACUCUUGAUGCAGGUGUAUCCCAUUUUCAUCUGCUUCAUGCCCAUGUCAUUGUUGCCAAAGGGUUUUUGAAUGUUCGAAAUUGCUUCUUAUUGGGUAUUGCCAAACUUCGUACAGAACUUCGCACAGAGUCCUUGUACAAUUUGCUCUGCAAUUGUUGCCCAUUUAGAAUCGCAACGAACCCAGGUGACAGUACAGCACAACAGCGGACAGAAGUGAUGCUCACCCCACCGGCAGGCUAAACACAUCACAGACCCUCCUUCCAUGAUGCAAAGUGUUGCCAACCUGAACUCUGUAGUUUUCCCUAAAGUAAAAAAAACAUUGGAUACUUUUUAGGCAGAUCUCGUAUGUAUGCUGGUGGCGACCUAUUGUUUUAAAUUUUGUUGUUCCACCAUACUGCUCUCUGAUAGAUGCACUAAAACAGAUUAAAGAAGGAAAUCUGCAUUCUGGAACUACGUAGAAAUUAUGGAAAUCUCCUGUGGGAUUUUACCUGUCUCUUUAAGCUAGCUGAGCAACUGCAAGUUCCCUUUUGUCAGCAGUCAUUUCCUUCAAGCUGUCAAAACAAGAAUGUACACUGUCACUUGUAAUUUAUUUGGGUUUACCCCGUCUGAACUGCAGUAACAUGGCGACAGCUCUGUCAGCACUCAUGGAAAUGGGCAACAACAAACAGGCAACAACGGCAUGGGAAUGGCAGGACUUGCCUGGUCUGCGAGCAUGUACAUCUGGUACUGACUGUGACAGUACACAUCACCCGGGGAAUGAAAUGGAUGAGACCAAUGCUCAUGGAAGCCCAGCACACCUCACUGGAAGCGCUUUCACACAGUGCAGCUGCAGAUGUCCUCUACCCAACAAACACUUUCCGCUGCCCCAGAGUUUUGUCAGCAUAUUGUUUUAGGUUGUCUGCGUGCAUCUCGCCACUUACGCAACAUUGAGGAUGCAGCUGGGUGCAGCAGUGACUGUGACAGCAUCUGGUGUCGCGUGGUUCCACUAAAGCAUGUGAAACUAUUACCACUAACGACGCCUUCAGAUGGUCACUGUGGUACCCCAAAUCUGAGCAGAUCGAUUCUGGAAGCACUCUGUGUCCAAGUUGUAGAUAUAAUGUCCCAACUGAACAGCUGCAUUUUGGAGCAGGGAAAGGGAUGGAAGCGAAAGCUGAGGGGAACAUAGCCAGCUAGCGCUGCCAUAGGCUGUGUUUAGAUGUGAAAUACCUAAGCGCAGCGUAUGUGAAUGAUAAUCGUCCCUGUGAAUGGAGCAAUGGAGCAAGAGUCCCCCUUUGCUGUUGCAACCAAGGGAAUGAGUGGGGUCAAGUGACCGGAAACCAAGAGUUUCUCGGCUGCUUCUCGGCCCUUUGAUUUGGAGUUGGGCAAAUGGAAAGGACUAUGCUAAUGCAGCCGGAGCACCCCUUUUCGACCAUCUGAGAAAGAUCGCCCUUUAGGAGUGCUUUAGAGUGCUUGAAAACAAUGAUCUGAAGAUGCCAUCAGUACAAAGGCAUUGGUGGUAAUAAAUCUUCAUACGACGUAUACUGGCUGCAGGUUUUUCAACAUGAAAACAUUCGUAACGUGCUCUGGUUGAACACACUAUCCCGAACUGUCACCGUCAGCACCGCUGCUCUCACCUGCACCACCAGCAUUCUGUAAACAAAAAUAUGUAUACUGACAAGCUAAAGCUCUCUAAUGGCGCCAUGCUCAAAGAUGUCCUCUGGACAAUGAAGGAGCCCCCCCCCCCCAAAGUAAGAAAGAAAAAUAAAUGUGUGUACAUUGACACAUAUGAUGUAAAGAUGUUUUCCUAGGAGCAUGCACUUUUCAUGCCAUUUCGCUAUCAAUAAAGCAUGCAUAAUAGCUCAACUCCUGGUACCAUUUGGCCUCUUCGUGCUUAGAGAACCACAUAGCCAUUGCAUGUGUAAGUAUAUGUAGGUGGUGUCUGUCUGUUAGUUUCAGCUAUAAACUUUAGGCCAACCCAUCUUGAAAAUAAUAAGCUUUAUAAUCAAUAGGAAUCUUUCUGAUGGUGUUACAGAGCCAGUUUCUACUUAGUACGUAACAAAUUAAUUUAUUAUCAUUACAAAACAAAUGUAGUCAAUCUGCAUAAAUUGAAACGCCCAAGGAACUAUAGAUUCAUGUCUGAAUUACCUGAUGACCACAUUAUUCAAGCUGAAUGAAAAGCAACUUCAAACACGAAUAAAUGUUUUUUUAUAGAUAGGCACCUAGGUGCAAAGCAAGUUCUUGCCUGCUUUUGCACACCUCUUAAUGAGUUACGGAAAUGCCCCCAAAGUGGAGUACACAAGUGUUCUUAUGUUGUGCAACCAUCAGAAUGCGGCCACUGCGGCCAGGAGUUGAAACCAGGACCAAUUCAUGCAGAAUGCCAUAGCCGAUGGGACAUCACUGCUUUGUGAAAUCAGGUGGAUACAAAACUUUAAAAUACUUUAUGAAAAAGGAGUGAUUAGAGAAAAUCUCACUGAAUACUUCAUCCAGAAGACCAGGACCACUAACAUGAUUCAGGGUGUAGUGCAAUUUUGCAGUAGUUCCUGUAAACACAUCUGGAAUAUGAACUGCUGGCACACUGACUAGUCGCACCUUAUAAACGUACGUUCACCACCUCUUUUUGGGCCACCAUAUUCUGCUUUAGUUGUCCAAAUGUUUGAAUGAAUAAAAUCACUCCUUCAAAUAAGUCUUAAUUAUCAGGAACCUUGAAUUAUUUGAGUUUGAACAACCACACACUGAUUGUACUUGUAUGUCACCGGAUCUUCUGACAAGAGUUUGUGAAGAAACAUUACCACUAUAAGAAAAUAGAGUUGCAACACAGGCUUAGUGGCUAUGACAUAUUGCCACUGGUUCAAUUCCCACCUAUAGUAGCUACAUUCUGAUGGCAAAAGAACACAAAACUGUCCAUGUAUGGAGAUUUCAGAAAACAUCAAUGAUGCCAAAGUGGCCAGAAUUAUCCAGAUGCCCACUAUAAUCGUGCUCUGAGCAUAGGUGUAGAUAUCCAAUUCAAUGCUAGAAAGAAAUAAUACGAUAUUAAAUGGCCUGUUAGUUUAGCAUAUUGUGGCGGAUAUUGCUGUGUGCACACUGAGUGCAAUAUAAUAUUGAUAUGGGCUAUGAGUCUAAAAUAUAGAGCUUGAAUAUUCCGGUCCUCCCAACACUAUUCCAGAGCAAGUCAUGUAAUAUUUACAAUUUUGCACCACCAUGCGGCUGCAGAGAACAAGCACGCACUGCUGCAUAUUUGUAUGUACAUUAGACAACUGCAGGCUGUGGAGUGGCCACAAGUGUUUCUCAGAAGCUGAACCGAGAUGUGUCUAUUUCUAAGGACAGCAGAAAGACGAGGCAGCAACUGAGGCAUUGAUGCAUAGUCUGCAACAAUUCAUAAAAAGGUGCCUCCCUUACUGACCCCAAUCCUGCUACCAAGGAGUACACCAGGUGUACUUCACUAGCCAAGUGAAUGAGAGUUUUCAGGAUUUUUUGUCGGAUGCCCUGACCAGCAAGCAAAAGAAAUAGGAUAGCAGAUCAUUAAACAGGCCUUGCAAGCUGCUCUGAGUGAAGGCACUUACAGCGGACAGCAUUACUGCACUGCUAC